CCUACGUGAGGCAGCAGUGGGGAAUAUUGCGCAAUGGGCGAAAGCCUGACGCAGCGACGCCGCGUGAGGGAUGAAGGUCUUCGGAUCGUAAACCUCUGUCAGCAGGGAAGAACGGUCACUGUGCUAAUCAGCAGUGAAUUGACGGUACCUGCAAAGGAAGCACCGGCUAUCUCCGUGCCAGCAGCCGCGGUAAUACGGAGGGUGCGAGCGUUAAUCGGAAUUACUGGGCGUAAAGCGCUCGUAGGCGGUAUGUCAAGUCAAGGGUGAAAUCCCCGCGCUCAACGUGGGAACUGCCUUUGAAACUGGCAAACUGGAGUGUGUGAGAGGAUAGUGGAAUUCCAGGUGUAGGAGUGAAAUCCGUAGAUAUCUGGAGGAACAUCAGUGGCGAAGGCGACUAUCUGGCACAUAACUGACGCUGAGGAGCGAAAGCGUGGGUAGCAAACAGGAUUAGAGACCCCGGUAGUC
rnacentral:rRNA from 1 species